rnacentral:rRNA from 1 species
AGAGUUUGAUCAUGGCUCAGAACGAACGCUGGCGGCAGGCCUAACACAUGCAAGUCGAGCGCUCACUUCGGUGGGAGCGGCGGACGGGUUAGUAACGCGUGGGAACGUGCCCUUCUCUACGGAAUAGCCUCGGGAAACUGAGAGUAAUACCGUAUACGCCCUUCGGGGGAAAGAUUUAUCGGAGAAGGAUCGGCCCGCGUUAGAUUAGAUAGUUGGUGGGGUAAUGGCCUACCAAGUCUACGAUCUAUAGCUGGUUUUAGAGGACGAUCAGCAACACUGGGACUGAGACACGGCCCAGACUCCUACGGGAGGCAGCAGUGGGGAAUCUUAGACAAUGGGCGAAAGCCUGAUCUAGCCAUGCCGCGUGAGUGAUGAAGGCCUUAGGGUCGUAAAGCUCUUUCGCCAGGGAUGAUAAUGACAGUACCUGGUAAAGAAACCCCGGCUAACUCCGUGCCAGCAGCCGCGGUAAUACGGAGGGGGUUAGCGUUGUUCGGAAUUACUGGGCGUAAAGCGCACGUAGGCGGAUCAGAAAGUUGGGGGUGAAAUCCCAGGGCUCAACCCUGGAACUGCCUCCAAAACUCCUGGUCUUGAGUUCGAGAGAGGUGAGUGGAAUUCCGAGUGUAGAGGUGAAAUUCGUAGAUAUUCGGAGGAACACCAGUGGCGAAGGCGGCUCACUGGCUCGAUACUGACGCUGAGGUGCGAAAGUGUGGGGAGCAAACAGGAUUAGAUACCCUAGUAGUCC